rnacentral:rRNA from 1 species
UACGGAGGGUGCAAGCGUUAUCCGGAUUCACUGGGUUUAAAGGGUGCGUAGGUGGGAAUGUAAGUCAGUGGUGAAAUCUCCGUGCUUAACAUGGAAACUGCCAUUGAUACUAUGUUUCUUGAAUUUUCUGGAGGUAAGCGGAAUAUGUCAUGUAGCGGUGAAAUGCUUAGAUAUGACAUAGAACACCAAUUGCGAAGGCAGCUUGCGUACAGGGAUAUUGACACUGAGGCACGGAAAGCGUGGGGAUCAAACAGG